AGCAGCCGCGGUAAUUCCAGCUCCAAUAGCGUAUAUUAAAGUUGUUGCAGUUAAAAAGCUCGUAGUUGAAUUUCGGGAUUGACGUGAUGGUCGUAUCUUAAGGGGUAUGAACUGUCGCUGUUGAUUUCUCACCUUCUGGAGAAACUUGAUGUCCUUAAUUGGGUGUCUUGCGGAUCCAGGACCUUUACCUUGAAAAAAUUAGAGUGUUUAAAGCAGGCAUUUUUGCUCGAAUACAUUAGCAUGGAAUAAUAGAAUAGGACGGCAUGGUUCUAUUUUGUUGGUUUCUAGGAUCACCGUAAUGAUUAAUAGGGAUAGUUGGGGGCAUUAGUAUUCAAUUGUCAGAGGUGAAAUUCUUGGAUUUAUUGAAGACUAACUACUGCGAAAGCAUUUGCCAAGGAUGUUUUCAUUAAUCAAGAACGAAAGUUAGGGGAUCGAAGACGAUCAGAUACCGUCGUAGUCUUAACCAUAAACUAUGCCGACUAGGAAUCAGACGAUGUUAAUUUUUUAAUGACUCGUUUGGCACCUUACG
rnacentral:rRNA from 1 species